rnacentral:rRNA from 1 species
UAGGGAAUCUUCCGCAAUGGGCGAAAGCCUGACGGAGCAACGCCGCGUGAGUGAUGAAGGUCUUCGGAUCGUAAACCUCUGUUAUUAGGGAAGAUCAAAUGUGUAAGUAACUAUGCACGUCUUGACGGUACCUAAUCAGAAAGCCACGGCUAACUACGUGCCAGCAGCCGCGGUAAUACGUAGGUGGCAAGCGUUAUCCGGAAUUAUUGGGCGUAAAGCGCGCGUAGGCGGUUUUUUAAGUCUGAUGUGAAAGCCCACGGCUCAACAGUGGAAGGUCCUUGGAAGCUGGAAAACUUGAGUGCAGAAGAAGAAAGUGGAAUUCCAUGUGUAGCGGUGAAAAGCGCAGAGAAAAGGAGGAACACCAGUGGCGAAGACGGCUUUCUGAUCUGUAACUGACGCUGAUGUGCGAAAGCGUGGGGAUCAAACAGG